rnacentral:rRNA from 1 species
UACGUAGGGUGCAAGCGUUAAUCGGAAUUACUAAGCGUAAAGCGUGCGCAGGCGGUCGUGCAAGAAAGAUGUGAAAUCCCCGGGCUCAACCUGGGAACUGCAUUUGCGACUGCACGGCUGGAGUACGGCAGAGGGGGAUGGAAUUCCGCAUGUAGCAGUGAAAUGCGUAGAUAUGCGGAGGAACACCGAUGGCGAAGGCAAUCCCCUGGGCCUGUACUGACGCCCAUGCACGAAAGCGUGGGGAGCAAACAGG